GAUUGGAAGAAAGGAGAAGCUUGAAUAGGAAGAUUGGUUAUAAUGAUUAAAAGUCUUAACUUGGGAGACUUAACUUGGGAGACUUGACUUGAGAGACUUAACUUGUAAGACUUGAAUUGGCUUGCAAAGGAAGGAGAAGAUGGAGCUUAUCUUGAAGGCCACGUGAAGGUGUACUUGGAAGCUUAGGAUUGGAAGAAAUGAAGGCUUGCUUGAGAAGAUUGCAAAAUUUUAAAGUUGUGAUGAUUACUUGGGUGGAAAAUGAGCAACUUGGUGGCCAAGUAAAAUCUUGAGGAUUUGGGCAUUUAAAGGCUAUAUAAAGGGGAGGAGGAAGGGCCACGAGAAGCAAAGGAGAAAGGAAAGAAAGCAAGUGCAAGAAAAAGAAAAGAAAAAGCAAAGAAGGAAGGAAAGAGAGACCAGAUUGGAAAUCACCAAAAACGGAAAAGAAAGCUAAAAGAAACAGCCCCUAGUGCAAGAAAUCGGGCUGUAAAUCGUGCUAUCGAAAGGAAAACGACCAAGCUUUGUCGGAAGUAUUAAGUGUUUCAGGCUCCAGGUUCCAGCAUGAGCAAGGAUUGAGAGGUGGCGCUUGGCUGAUUUAGAGAUGGAUUUGUUUGUAUACCCGUGUAACCCCAAUAUUGUAAUGUAAAUAGUAGUUAAGAUACUUAAGGAUGUAAUUGUGAAGUUGCUAUAACUUUUGAUAUAUGGA